UGGGGAAUAUUGCACAAUGGGCGCAAGCCUGAUGCAGCCAUGCCGCGUGUAUGAAGAAGGCCUUCGGGUUGUAAAGUACUUUCAGCGGGGAGGAAGGGAGUAAAGUUAAUACCUUUGCUCAUUGACGUUACCCGCAGAAGAAGCACCGGCUAACUCCGUGCCAGCAGCCGCGGUAAUACGGAGGGUGCAAGCGUUAAUCGGAAUUACUGGGCGUAAAGCGCACGCAGGCGGUUUGUUAAGUCAGAUGUGAAAUCCCCGGGCUUAACCCGGGAAUUGCAUCUGAUACUGGUCAGCUAGAGUCUUGUAGAGGGGGGUAGAAUUCCAGGUGUAGCGGUGAAAUGCGUAGAGAUCUGGAGGAAUACCGGUGGCGAAGGCGGCCCCCUGGACGAAGACUGACGCUCAGGUGCGAAAGCGUGGGGAGCAAACAGG
rnacentral:rRNA from 1 species